rnacentral:rRNA from 1 species
CACCGGCGCCACGAGUGGUCGUCACGAUUAUUGGGCCUAAAGCGUCCGUAGCUGGUAUGGUGCAUCCCUUGUGAAAUUGUGCGGCUUAACCGCACAGCGUGCAGGGGACACGGCCAUGCUCGAGACCGGGAGGCGUGCGAGGUAUUCCAUAGGGACCGGUAAAAUGGGAUAAUCUAUGGAGGACCACCGAUGGCGAAGGCAUCGCACGAGAACGGAUCUGACAGUGAGGGACGAAAGCCAGGGGAGCGAA